UUCCGGUUGAUCCUGCCGGCGGCCACUGCUAUCAGGUUUCGGCUAAGCCAUGCGAGUCUAGGGAUCGUAAGAUACCGGCAUACUGCUCAGUAACACGCGGAUAAUCUACCCCCAGGUGAAGAAUACCCUCGGGAAACUGAGGCCAAUACUUCAUAAUCACUAUAUGCUGGAAUGCUUUGGUGAUGAAAGAAUUUCGCCUGAGGAUGAGUCUGCGGCCUAUCAGGUCGUAUGUGGUGUAAUGGACCACAUAGCCUAAGACGGGUACGGGCCUUGAAAGAGGGAGCCCGGAGAUGGACUCUGAGACAUUAGUCCAGGCCCUACGGGGCGCAGCAGGCGCGAAAGCUGUGCAAUGCGCGAAAGCGCGACACGGGAAGCCUGAGUGCCUUAACACAGUUAAGGCUUUUCUCAUGCCUAAAAAGCUUGAGGAAUAAGAGCUGGGCAAGACGGGUGCCAGCCGCCGCGGUAACACCCGCAGCUCGAGUGGUGGUCACUUUUAUUGAGCCUAAAGCGUUCGUAGCCGGAUCCGUAAAUCUUCAGGCAAAUUCCUUCGCUCAACGAAGGAUCUUCUGGAGAGACUGCGGAUCUAGGGACCGGGUGAGGUUGAAUGUACUUCCGGGGUAGGGGUAAAAUCCUGUAAUCCUGGAAGGACGACCGGUGGCGAAGGCGUUCAACUAGAACGGAUCCGACGGUGAGGAACGAGGGCUAGGGGAGCAAUCGGAUUACAUACCCGGGUAGUCCUAGCUGUAAACACUGCCCACUUGGUGUUGCAUCUCCGUGUAGGGGGUGCAGUGCCGUAGCGAAGGUGUUAAGUGGGCCGCUUGGGGAGUAUGGUCGCAAGGCUGAAACUUAAAGGAAUUGGCGGGGGAGCACCACAACGGGAGGAGCGUGCGGUUUAAUUGGAUUCAACGCCGGG
rnacentral:rRNA from 1 species